rnacentral:rRNA from 1 species
AAUUGGAGGGCAAGUCUGGUGCCAGCAGCCGCGGUAAUUCCAGCUCCAAUAGCGUAUAUUAAAGUUGUUGCAGUUAAAAAGCUCGUAGUUGAAUUUCGGGAUCAGUACGCUGGUCGUGCCUCCGGUACGUACUGGUGUCACUGGUUCCUCCCUUCUGAAGAACCAUCAUGCUAUUAAUUUAGUGUGGUGGGAAAUCAGGACUGUUACUUUGAAAAAAUUAGAGUGUUUAAAGCAGGCUCACGCUUGAAUACAUUAGCAUGGAAUAAUGAAAUAGGACGUUGAUCCUAUUUUGUUGGUUUCUAGGAUUGACGUAAUGAUUAAUAGGGAUAGUUGGGGGCAUUAGUAUUCAAUUGUCAGAGGUGAAAUUCUUGGAUUUAUUGAAGACUAACUACUGCGAAAGCAUUUGCCAAGGAUGUUUUCAUUAAUCAAGAACGAAAGUUAGGGGAUCGAAGACGAUCAGAUACCGUCGUAGUCUUAACCAUAAACUAUGCCGACUAGGGAUCGGAUGAUGUUAAUUUUUUAAUGACUCAUUCGGCGCCUUACGGGAAACCAAAGUGU